rnacentral:rRNA from 1 species
GAUCAUGGCUCAGGAUGAACGCUAGCUACAGGCUUAACACAUGCAAGUCGAGGGGAAACGACAUCGAAAGCUUGCUUCCGAUGGGCGUCGACCGGCGCACGGGUGAAUAACGCGUAUCCAACCUGCCCACCACUUGGGGGAUAACCUUGCGAAAGUAAGACUAAUACCCAAUGAUAUCUCUAGAAGACAUCUGAAAGAGAUUAAAGAUUCAUCGGUGAUGGAUGGGGAGUGCGU